ACGGAAGGCAGCAGUGAGGAAUAUUGGUCAAUGGGCGGAAGCCUGAACCAGCCAAGUCGCGUGAAGGAUGAAGGUAUUAUGUAUUGUAAACUUCUUUAGCAGCAGAGUAAUAAGGGGGUCGUGACCCCCGAUGCAAGUAUGCUGAAAAUAAGGAUCGGCUAACUCCGUGCCAGCAGCCGCGGUAAUACGGAGGAUCCGAGCGUUAUCCGGAUUUAUUGGGUCUAAAGGGUGCGCAGGCGGUUUUUUAAGUCAGUGGUUAAAUCGUGAGGCUCAACCUCAUCACGCCAUUGAUACUGGAAGACUUGAUUGCGGUUGAGGUUGGCGGAAUUCGUCGUGUAGCGGUGAAAUGCAUAGAUAUGACGAAGAACACCGAUUGCGUAGGCAGCUGACCAAGCCGUAAAUGACGCUCAUGCACGAAAGUGCGGGGAUCGAACAGGAUUAGAUACCCUGGUA
rnacentral:rRNA from 1 species